rnacentral:rRNA from 1 species
GACGAACGCUGGCGGCGUGCCUAAUACAUGCAAGUAGAACGCACAGUUUAUACCGUAGCUUGCUACACCAUAAACUGUGAGUUGCGAACGGGUGAUUAACGCGUAGGUAACCUGCCUGGUAGCGGGUGGUAACUAUUGGAAACGAUAGCUAAUACCGCAUAAUAUUCAUUAUUGCAUGAUAAUUGAUUGAAAGAUGCAAUUGCAUCACUACCAGAUGGACCUGCUUUGUAUUUGCUAGUAGGUGAGGUAACGGAUCACCUAGGCGACGAUACAUAUCCGAACUGAGAGGGGGAUCGGCCAAACUUGGACUGGGACAAGGCCCAGAAUCCUACGGGAGGCAGCAGGAGGGAAUCUUUGGCAAAGGACGAAAGGCUGAACGAGCAACGCCGCGGGAGGGGAGAAGGGUUUCGGAUCGGAAAGCUCUGUUGUAAGGGAAGAAAGGGUGUGAGAGUGGAAAGUUCACACUGUGACGGUAUCUUACCAGAAAGGGACGGCUAACUACGUG